UGGGGAAUAUUGCACAAUGGGGGGAACCCUGAUGCAGCCAUGCCGCGUGAAUGAAGAAGGCCUUCGGGUUGUAAAGUUCUUUCGGUGACGAGGAAGGUUGGUAGGUUAAUAGCCUAUCAAAUUGACGUUAAUCACAGAAGAAGCACCGGCUAACUCCGUGCCAGCAGCCGCGGUAAUACGGGGGGUGCGAGCGUUAAUCGGAAUAACUGGGCGUAAAGGGCACGCAGGCGGUGGCUUAAGUGAGAUGUGAAAGCCCCGAGCUUAACUUGGGAAUUGCAUUUCAUACUGGGUCGCUAGAGUACUUUAGGGAGGGGUAGAAUUCCACGUGUAGCGGUGAAAUGCGUAGAGAUGUGGAGGAAUACCGAAGGCGAAGGCAGCCCCUUGGGAAUGUACUGACGCUCAUGUGCGAAAGCGUGGGGAGCAAACAGGAUUAGAUACCCUGGUAGUCCACGCUGUAAACGAUGUCGAUUUGGGGAUUGGGCUUUGAGCUUGGUGCCCGUAGCUAACGUGAUAAAUCGACCGCCUGGGGAGUACGGCCGCAAGGUUA
rnacentral:rRNA from 1 species